UACGGAGGGGACUAGCGUUGUUCGGAAUUACUGGGCGUAAAGCGCACGUAGGCGGAUUUGUAAGUCAGGGGUGAAAUCCCGGGGCUCAACCUCGGAACUGCCUUUGAUACUGCAAAUCUCGAGUCCGGAAGAGGUGAGUGGAAUUCCUAGUGUAGAGGUGAAACUCGUAGAUAUUAGGAAGAACACCAGUGGCGAAGGCGGCUCACUGGUCCGGUACUGACGCUGAGGUGCGAAGGCCAGGGGAGCAAACGGG
rnacentral:rRNA from 1 species